rnacentral:rRNA from 1 species
UAAGACAUGCAAGUCGAACGAGGAAACAUUCGGUAGUAAUACUUAAUGUUUCUAGUGGCGUAAGGGUGCGUAACACGUGGGUAAUCUACCGUGAAGUUGGGAAUAACUUCGAGAAAUCGAUGCUAAUACCGAAUGUGGUUUGCUUGGGACAUCCCGAGUAAACUAAAGCUGGGGACCUUCGGGCCUGGCGCUUCAUGAUGAGCCCGCGGCCUAUCAGCUUGUUGGUGAGGUAACGGCUCACCAAGGCUAAGACGGGUAGCCGGUCUGAGAGGAUGGUCGGCCACACUGGAACUGAGACACGGUCCAGACACCUACGGGUGGCAGCAGUCGAGAAUCAUUCACAAUGGGGGAAACCCUGAUGGUGCAACGCCGCGUGGGGGAUGAAGGUCUUCGGAUUGUAAACCCCUGUCAUUUGUGAGCAACCGUUCAGAUUUAAUAGAUUUGAACCUGAUAGUAGCAAAAGAGGAAGGGACGGCUAACUCCGUGCCAGCAGCCGCGGUAAUACGGAGGUCCCAAGCGUUGUUCGGAUUUACUGGGCGUAAAGGGUGCGUAGGUGGUUGGGAAAGUCUGAUGUGAAAGCCCCGAGCUCAACUCGGGAACUGCAUUGGAUACUACUUGACUUGAGGAUCGGAGGGGAGACUGGAAUUCUCGGUGUAGCAGUGAAAUGCGUAGAUAUCGAGAGGAACACCAGUGGCGAAGGCGAGUCUCUGGACGAUUCCUGACACUGAGGCACGAAAGCUAGGGGAGCAAACAGGAUUAGAUACCCUGGUAGUCCUAGCCGUAAACGGUGCACACUUGCUGUAGGCGGAUUCGACCCCGUCUGUGGCGGAGCCACGCGUUAAGUGUGCCGCCUGGGGAGUACGGUCGCAAGAUUA